GCUCCUCACGGUUACUGCUGCCUGUUACUGUCACUGCUGCUUCAAGACGCUGCGUGUCACCCAUGAAUGAAGACGGACAAGGAAAAACACAUUGCAGAGGAACUACAUUGGGGUUUACCAGAAGACAUAGGAAUUCACUUCUGCUAUGCUGGCGAACUUUAUGCUAACUCGUUAGCAUUUAAGCUAGCCGACUGUAUGCUAACUCGUUAGCAUUUAAGCUACCGUACUUUAUGAUAACUCGUUAGCAUUUAAGCUAGCAAAGCUAGCCGAAAGAGAGUGACAGGACAUAAAAAUAAGUGGUUACUUCUGAGAUGAAGACAUCCACCAAGAAGCCUGUGAUGAAGGCAAUGAAGUCUGAAGGAAUACUUUUCAGUUUCAUAUGGGGAAAUGACAAGGGGAGGAGAGCGGAGGAGUGCAAGCAGAAGCAGGUAUGCAGCGCGUCUACUGGGUGGCUGUAUUACAUUCUGCUCAACCAGCACUGGUGAUGGAUUGAUGCCAGCUGGAGAGAGGCAGUCCUGAAUCAAUGAAGAAAAGUGUGGAUCCUUCAGCGGCUGAGGUGUGAGGCAGCAACCUCCCCAUUGCAUCUCGACACCGGUUUCUCUGCAGCAUGUUGAUGAUAAUGCAAGGUGAAUUUUACGUGUGACAGACUUAAUGCCGAUGUCAGUCACACAGGUACAGUAUGUAAUGUGUACUAAAUGUUAGGACAAUUGCAGAUCCUCACUUAGAUUUGCCCCAUUCCUGGUGGACAGAUUACAUCAUCACCUCCUCAGUGCUGUAACUAUUUUGACCAUUUAUAGGAUUUUUUACAUUUUAGUGCAUUUUGUUGUGUUGAAUGUUAAUCGUGUUGAUUGUUAAACACCUCUUCUUUUUGAUAGAGUACAGUUGAUUUCAUGUAGUUCCCUUUUACAUGUUAUUACAUAGUCACAUUUUGAGAUUAAGGGUGUUUUUAUAAGAUGUUUUUACCUAUGCUCUAGCACUGGAAUUGACCUUGAAGCAGGGAAUGUGGAGACCAACUACCAACAAGAGCAUGUACUCUCUCUGAACCGCCAUGUGAUCUGAUUGCUCAAAGCUGCUGGUUAUGGCACACAUGUUCUCUCUCAAAUCCCUUGAUUUAAAUUUUGCGGAAAGGUUAUUAUGGUAUUAUUGAUGAAUGAUUCUGAAAAAAUACUCUGUGUAGCUCAGUCAUUUCAGAUUAUAUGUUGAUGUGCCCCCGAUGCAUUUACUAAAACGCAGCAUUUGUAUGGUGUAAUGGCUCAGUGGUUAAGACUGCCAGUGUUUAAGACCCUGUGUGCAAAGACUUCAUGGUCGCAAGUUCAACUCCACCCCUUAUAAGUCGCUUUGGAUAAAAGCUUCUGCUAAAUGACAUGUAAUGUAAUAACACUCAUAAGACCUAAUGAGGAAAAAAGCAAAAUUAGAUAAAAAAAAUAAAAUGAACACGUAUAAUAAUAACAACACGAAGCCUGAACUGCAUGCUUGUAUUGUUUCAGUGUAACCUUCGUGACUGAACUGUGGUGUUGUUUUCAUAUAUUUCACGUGUUCUACCUCUAAAGUGCUGCAUCAUUAGAAGUAAUCUGUACAAAACCUAAAUUCUGACGUACAUAAGCACAAAUGUGUGCGGACAAAUUAAAGGCUCUGGCACAGGGAUGCAAAUACAUUAUACAUUUCAUAGUUGUUAAUGACCUGUAACAAGUGGGCCUCCUGUUUGGUGCAGACUAAUUACUCCGACGGUUCUUUUCAGUCUGUGUUGCUCAUCACGUCCUUGUGGCCACUGCCUAUGAUGCUUGUGAUUUUCCUAUAUUUCCAGUGCUCAUUAUAAAAGUUAAUAUAUAGGUCCGCUCGUAGGUUAUACAUUGUAACAAUAAAACCGGGGGAAAUUGUUCUGAAUGCCACUGUUAAGCUAAUGGAAAUCCUUUGUCUUCAGCCUGUGCACGCAGUAUAUCCACCACCACACCAGCCGCCUUGUUCACACUCCUACAGAAUCCUACCUUACGGCGUCUAACAAGGGGACUCUUUCUCUUUGUAAUACGUUUCAUUUGCAAAACGCCGAAGUUCACGGUUUCAUUCGGAAUAAAAAUCUGUAUUUCAGCAACAAAUACGUAUAUAUAUUACCACUACUGGCUGUGCCGUAGAGAUAGUUUUCCAUAUCUAAACUUAAAUAUGCAGCAGCCCCAGGUUUAGAGAUGAGAAUGUGUUUUAUUUCAGUGAAGCCCAGUGGAACAUGGGUUACGAGCAGCUGGGUUGGUGGUAUUACACGAGGGUGCAUGUUGUAUUGUGGGUAGGCCAUCCAUCAGGGAGACUGCAGCUCCCAAAGGUGGUCUCUUUAUAUGCCUGACUGCUGCACCCCCACCUUGCUCUACUUAUAAACAGGCACACACACACACACACACAUUCAUAUAGAUCAAGACUUGAUACAAUAGAAUCCCCACAUAAAAAUGAAUUAAACCAUUGUUAUAUUAUAAUUGAAGUAAAGUAAGUUUUGUGACUAAUUCCAGACAGAAGUUAACAAAUGAUUUGCAUGACAGCUGAAUCCGAAUGUCUCACUCUUGGACUGAAGCUGCCAUUAGAGUUUGCUAAAAGUGAAUAUAAUUCUGUGUAGGUUACAGUGUCUAGUGUUGGUGUUAUACUCCUACUGUAUACAGACAAGUAUACAUAAAUAUGUAUACAAAUAAAGAAACACACCACAUACUGUAUAUAUUCAGGUCCCUUUGGGACCACUUCGACUUUAGUCAGGGUCGAAUUGGAAGCGUUUGCGUUGACUUGUGAAUAAAGUUGACCUGCUUUUAUGUGCAGUACAUGCACAGUACACUGAAAUAGUGAAUUUCUCCUUAUUUACUUCUCCAAAGAUAACUAAGUUAACUGUAUGUAUGUGGUUGUCUUCAUAAUUGAAAUAAUUAAAGACUUAUGUUUCAAAGACUGUCAUGCAUUGCAUAUUAUUGCAGUUGCAUUAUUUUG